UACGGAGGGUGCAAGCGUUGUCCGGAAUCACUGGGCGUAAAGGGCGCGUAGGCGGCUCAUGAAGGCUGUGGUGAAAGUCCGGGGCUCAACCCUGCGUCGGCCAUGAAUACUGCCGCGGCUGGAGCACUGUAGAGGCAGGCGGAAUUCCGGGUGUAGCGGUGGAAUGCGUAGAGAUCCGGAAGAACACCGGUGGCGAAGGCGGCCUGCUGGGCAGUUGCUGACACUGAGGCGCGACAGCGUGGGGAGCAAACAGG
rnacentral:rRNA from 1 species